GCCAAAGCAAAAUCUGUCCCCUUGUGUGAUCUCUGCACUAAUCAAUUAUUUGGAAAAGAACUGCCAGCUCAUAUGUUAUGAUUUUUAGAAAAGUGUCAGUCUGAGCGCAGUGGCUCAUGCCCAUAAUCCUGGCACUUAUGGAGGACAAGGCGGCUUGAGCCUGGGAGUUUGAGACCAGCCUGGGCAACACGGCAAGGCCGCAUCU